rnacentral:rRNA from 1 species
UACGGAGGAUCCGAGCGUUAUCCGGAUUUAUUGGGUUUAAAGGGUGCGCAGGCGGGAGAUUAAGUCGGCGGUGAAAUUUUGCAGCUCAACUGUAAAAGUGCCUUCGAUACUGGUUUCCUUGAGUGUGGAUGAAGUAGGCGGAAUUUGUGGUGUAGCGGUGAAAUGCUUAGAUAUCACGAGGAACUCCGAUUGCGCAGGCAGCUUACUAAACCACUACUGACGCUCAGGCACGAAGGCGUGGGGAGUCAAACAGGAUUAGAUACCCCGUACGU